GGAGAGGUGGCCGAGCGGUUUAAGGCGCACGCCUGGAAAGCGUGUAUCUUGUGUGAAACGGGAUCGAGGGUUCGAAUCCCUCCCUCUCCG
rnacentral:tRNA from 1 species